GCUGGCGGCGUGGAUAAGACAUGCAAGUCGAACGAGACUUUUCGUUGUAGCAAUACGAUGGAAAGUUUAGUGGCGAACGGGUGCUUAACACGUGGGCAACCUGCCAUGAAGUGGGGGAUAGCUCGCCGAAAGGCGAAUUAAUACCGCAUGUGAUUAGAGAGGACAUCUUUUCAAAAUUAAAGUCGGGGCAACCUGACGCUUCUUGUGGGGCCCGCGGCCUAUCAGCUAGUUGGUGAGGUAACGGCUCACCAAGGCUUUGACGGGUAGCUGGUCUGAGAGGACGACCAGCCACACUGGGACUGAGACACGGCCCAGACACCUACGGGUGGCAGCAGUCGAGAAUUUUUGACAAUGGGGGAAACCCUGAUCGAGCGACGCCGCGUGGAGGAUGAAGGUCUUCGGAUUGUAAACUCCUGUCAUUUGGGAACAAGGUGCACACGUUAACUGCGUGCGUAUUGAUAGUACCAGAAGAGGAAGAGACGGCUAACUCUGUGCCAGCAGCCGCGGUAAUACAGAGGUCUCAAGCGUUGUUCGGAUUCAUUGGGCGUAAAGGGUGC
rnacentral:rRNA from 1 species